AAGGAUAAAAUAUAUUAAAAAAUUAUUACAUCCAUAAAGAUUUUUCUAGAUUUGGGAAAGUAAUGUUGUCAGCUUCAUUAUUUCCAAACUCCAUUUUAGGAGAUAAUUUUUUUUAAAAAAGUAUUACGGAUUUAAUUGGAAAAAAUAAUAGUAGCUGAAAGGUUUAAGAUUUUAUUUUUCAAACUUUGUUUCAUCGAAGUAUUCCGACUUGUUUAUUGUUGGUUCUUCGAAUCAAUCCAAGUUUUUUAUCAUCACGUUUGUAUAAAUCUUUAAAAAUAAUCUCCAUUUAUGUAGGUUCGUAGCUGAUUUUGCAGUCUCCGUAAGGUCUGGUAGCAAAGUAAUUAUAUGCAAGAGUUUUGAUCUUUCAAUUGCCCUUUGAAUUUGUACAGUGAUCACAUAGCCUCAUAUGCACUUCCACUGGGUACCACAUAAGCUUCAUAAUUCUUGCCUUACCUGCAGGUUUUCUGUAAGGAAAGUGGACCGCCAUUAGUGAACAGCAGAGCAGCAUAUGAAGUCAACUACAGUGAUCUUGAAAGAGUUUGUAAAUGACUGGAAGAUAGUGAGGAGCAACAUGGCUUUAAAAUUGUCAAGAUAUGUUGCAAGAAUCUAUUCUAGGCUUUAUCUCGAAUAUGAAUGGGUGAUGUUUCUUUUCUGGGAAACUGGCUGAAGGAUGUUAUGAAGAGGUCUGAUAUAUGUGGUUUACUUUGGGCUCAUAUUAGUAAGUGGGGUUUCAUUGUGGUUAAGAAAAGGUUGAAGCCUCCUACUAUCACAAUUCCUCCAUUGAAGGUUAUUAAAUGAGUUUGGACAAAUGUUAAUUGUCCUGUUUCAAGAAAUAGUAUUAUGCAUAUCUGUUUUAUUGCAGGUCAUAGUUUCUGGUAUAUGUCCGAAAAUAAAUCGUCCCAUCUGCUGAAGCUUAUAAUUUCAUAAUAUAGUGAAAAUGACAAUGCUUCAUGUAUGUUACAAUUGAGCAGCAAGUUCAAAAAUUUGGGUAAAGCGAAACUUCUGGUGCACCGACUGAUCAUCAGUUGGAUUAGUCCAUAACAUUGAGGCAUUUCAAGUAUUGCACACGGUAUAGGAAUCUGUCACAUAAUACAUAUGGAUAUUGUAUAUGAUGACAUAUGGUUCAGUGAGGAGGUUGCAUCAUAAUCAAAAUUCAAAAUUUGACUGUAGCGAUGCCAAUAUACUAUUAAAGUAAAAGAUUUAUAAUAAACAAUGUAUUUUAUUCUUUGUAAGAUGUUAUUGAUAAUGUUCAGUUCGUUUUCUUUCU